rnacentral:lncRNA from 1 species
UAUGCACAUGAAGAAGAAAAAGGAGUUCUCCCCACAACCCUCUAAAUUGAGGCAAUUGAAGAAAGAUUUGAAGCUAAAUCAAUGCAUAAAUGAAGGAUCCUUACCAUCUCAUGCUAAGGAACAUGUGGUAAGUUAUAAAUUUUGAUUUGGUGACUUUUCAAGAAGUGGGUUAUGAUCAAACCAUGAAGUAUUAUGAAACUAAGUAUGAGGAGGUGUUAGAAUCACCAUAUAGGUCUUGGGUUAUGAACGAUUUUGAGUAACUUGAUGUUUGUAAGUGAAUCUCAUUUGAGAUGAUGAAGAUGGCAACAUAGGUGUGUCACCCAUGACCAAUCCUUGUGCAAAUAUAAUGAAUUAGGUAGUGUGUGAUGCAUAAUUGUUAGUUAGAUUGAAGAAUAGUAUGGAAUUUAUGUGAUGCUUAGUGGUGAUGGUGAAUGAAUGUAAGAAAAAGGAAUGAAAGCAUGAACUACUUGUACAUUGUUCUAAAAUAGUAGUACGCAUACCAAGUGUUUGAUGAAAUGCCUAGUUAAGUUAGUAUAUGAAAAUUUAUGCUAACAAUGGAUGAUCAUGUGUAGAAUAUGAUAAUAGCAUGAUUGAUAGUAAGCUAAGAUGAGGAAUGUGUUGAUAGAUGGACUUCAUGUGGAAAUUAUAUUUGUUAAUAUGAUAUGGUAGAAAAAUGCAUUAAAAGUUGUACUCUAUGUUAGAAUGGUGUGAUGCAUGCUAUGACUUGAUCUGGUUAUGGUUAGACAAAAUCAAAAGUGAAUUUGUGUCAUUUGUAUGGUCUACUACUUAAAUACGGACAAUGUUCUUAUGAUUGGAAGUUUGUAUGCUUGACCGUUGAUCUUUUUAAAGGUCAACGAAUAUGUGAAUGACAUGGUUUGACUUAUGAUUGCGAUUGUAAGGUUUAGGAAUAAUCGUAUGAUACACGUUAAAUGAUGUGUUAUAUAUGAUAAGAAAAAAAAUCUAAUUGCUUAAAUGUGGGACAAUGUGAUUAUCAAUUCAUGUCUUAUGCAUAUAAGUGGUUGCCUAAUAAAAAUCAAUGUAACUAAGGAAUUGAAAUGAACGUGAUAUUAAUGAAUAUGCAUACUAACGAUGUUGUGCAUAUGAUGGCAUGUCACACCCCGAUCUCCACGUGUCACCGGUGGGCCCGGUGUGGGGUAUCGUGACGUAGUUGGCAUCGUCAUAGACAAACAACACAAUAUAAUAAUGCACAGCGGAAGCAGAAAUAGAUCCAUUUCAACUACUGUGAUAUUAUUAUUACACUUUAUUUAAAAGUUGAAAUGUUUCUAUUCUGCU